GCCGGGGUGGUGGAACGGCAGACACGCACGCCUCAAGAGCGUGUAAUCGCAUAGAUUGUGAGAGUUCGAAUCUCUCCCCCGGCA
rfam:Candidatus Blackburnbacteria bacterium RIFCSPLOWO2_01_FTLL_41_27 rifcsplowo2_01_scaffold_6489, whole genome shotgun sequence.